rnacentral:lncRNA from 1 species
CUGGCGCCAUCUUCCUGCAGGUCACGUGCUGGGGAGAGGCGGUCCUCAGGCCCGCUCCCCACUGAUUGACAGGGAAUGUCUUUGUUUUCCCGCCCACACGGUGAGGUCAAAGGGCUCUCCACGUGGGAAUAUACAGCGGUAACCGGCUACUCCUGAACCUGGAAACCAGCUUCUCAAUCAAGGAGAAACUAGAGGCAGCACCUUCCCUACGUGGUGCUCAUGGCUUCAGGGAAGAAACCCAAAUCAUGACACGACACGAAGGUAUCUUACCCAGGGUCUUUGGUUGAAAUUUGCUGUGUGUGACUGAUUUGAAGAGAUUUGUACUGUUUCUCAUAGGUAGGCUUUUGCUUUCUCAUUGCUACGUAGUUGUUCUAAUUAUCCUGAUUGAUUUCCUUUCAGAUAUUUUUGUUUUAUUUUAAAAAUGUGAACAUUGACCAGGUGCAGUGGCUCACACCUGUAAUCCCAGCACUUUGGGAGGCUGAGGUGGGCGGAUCAUUUGAGGUCAGGAGUUCAAGACUAGCCUGGCCAACGUGGUGAGACCUCUGUCUCUACUAAAAAUACAAAACUUAGCAGGGCGUGGUGGUGUGCAGCUGUAGUCCCAGCUACUCGGGAAGCUGAGGUAGGAGAAUCAUUUGGACCCAAAUCUGGGAGGUGGAGGUUGCAGUGAGCCAAGAUCGUGCUGCUGCACUCCAACCUGGGCGAUGGAGUGAGACUCCGUCUCAAAAAAUAAAGAUAAAAUUGUGAACAUUAAUGUAGUAUUUCCCCCACAUAAUAUAGUUUUACAUUUCCUAAAACUACAAAAAGUAAAAUAAGCAUAAAAGAAGCAUACUUUGUUCAGACCUAAGUGCGCUGAUGCCCUAGUUGCCCCCCCAUACGCAGCAGAGCGUGUGGGUUAAGAACAUGGGCACAGAGGUAGUUUGGUUCACUUAUGGGGGCCUCUGUAGUUCGUUUAACAUCUCAGAGCCUUUAGUGCCCUCCUUUUUUAGAUGAGGAUAAGAACCUCUUAAGAUUUUUGUGGUAGUGUAAUGAGCUACUGCCUGUAAAAUUAGAUGCAGCCUGGCCCAGAAUAAGUGCUCACCUAUCAUUACCUAGGGGCAGACCAGGGGCUAAGGUAAAGGUAUCCUCAGGAGAGUAAGCUAAUCAGCCACUUUGGAACAUGCCCCCAGCUCUCACACAGGAAGAUUUAGUCACUGUCCUGGGUUGACAAGUGUCGUACCACCACCCCCACCCAAUUCAUGUUCACCUGGAACCUCAGAAUGUGAUCUGAUUUGGAAAUAGGAUCUUUGUAGAUGUGAUUAGUCAAUUUAAAGUGAGGU